GACCGAGGGCCCGGAGGAGUUACGUACGACCCUCCGGGCCCUCCCGCGAGAAAUCAGGAGUAUUCGGGUUCCGGGGGGAGUAUGGUCGCAAGGCCGAAACUUAAAGGAAUUGACGGAAGGGCACCACCAGGAGUGGAAUCUGCGGCUUAAUUUGACCAACGCGGGAAAACUCACCAGGUCAGGACACGGUAAGGAUUGACGGACUGAAGGCUCUUUCUCGAUUCCGUGGAAAGUGGUGCAUGGCCGUUUUUGGUUGGUGGAUCGAUCCGUCUGGUUAAUUCCGUUAACGAACGAGACCUCGGCACUCCGAAUAGCGCGGCGGACGUCGCGGCCUCCGGGCCGUCUUCCGCACGAGCUUCUUAGAGGGACCGUCCCCCGCCGGGGAAGGAGGUGCGAGGCAACGACAGGUCUGUGAUGCCCUUAGAUGUUCUGGGCCG
rnacentral:rRNA from 1 species